rnacentral:rRNA from 1 species
AUGGACGCACUCCUCGGCGCGGCGCAAUGGGUGGUGAGCAAGGCGCUGGCCCCCGUUGCCGAUGGCCUGCUGGAGGCUUGGGGUGCAACCAGGAACUUGGGUCCGAACAUCGAGGCCCUGAGGAUGGAGCUGCUGCUUGUGAAGGCCACCCUUGAAAAUGCCGGCCUCAAGCACACCAGUGGCCAUGCCAUGGAGGAGCUGCUCGGGAAGCUGCAGGACUUAGCAUACUGUGCCGAGGACUUGUUGGACGAGCUUGACUACUUCCGCAUCCACGACCAGCUCCACGACACAUAUGACGCCGCGGACCAGCAUGCCAAGGGCGGCGUCCACGACCUUGCCCUCAAUGCUCGUCAUGUCGCCAAAGCUGUUGGCAAGCUGACAUUUGUAUCCUCAUUUUGCUGUUCUGCUCCCAAACCUGCAGGCGAUACUGGAGAAGGAGAAGAUGUAACACAACGGGUCAGCCGUUGUGCUUGGCUGCGUGCUCGGAAGAGGUCAGACGGGAAUUCCUCCUCACUACCAAACGCCAAUCAGGAGGUCGGCGGAUGCAUGGCCAAGCUUGGUAAACUCCUCCCUUGCUCAUCUUCCCCACAUGUUCGUGAUGAUAGUUCUGGCCAGCCUAUUCUUUGUGGUGUGCCACAGAGAGAAACACCAAUGGUGGGGUUUAAUAGGGUUGAUGCCUCUGAAAGAAUGCGGCACAUUGUAGAGCAAUUGCAGCCUGUGCGUAAAGAGGUUACACUGAUUCUGCAAAGUUGUAGCCGUGUGAUAGUCCCGACUAUUGACCAGAGUCUUCCCAUCAAUCGCCCCAUCACCUCUGGUACAAGUGUGGAGCCAAAAUUGUAUGGGAGAGACCAUAUCGUGGAUACCAUCAUACAUGAUAUGACUAUGGGUAAAUACCUUAGCUUUGAUCUAACUGUGCUUCCGAUUGUCGGUCCAGGGGGAAUUGGAAAGACAACUCUGAUACAACACAUACAUAAAACCCAACAAGUUCAAAAUCAUUUUCAAGUUGUUAUUUGGGCGUGUGUGUCGCUCAAGUUUAAUUUGAAUAAGCUGCUAGAGGAGAUUAAAACAUAUAUUCCUCAAGUUGAAGGGGAAAAGGGUGGUAGUGCCGAAGAGCUGAUUGAGCAGAGAUUAAAAUCUAAAAGGUUUUUGCUUGUACUGGAUGAUAUUUGGGAGAUUAGUGAUGAGGAUGAGUGGGAAAAGUUAUUGCUGCUACUCAGAACAUCAUCUGAAAAGGGUAGCAUGAUUAUUGUCACAACUCGGUUUCCGUCAAUAGCUAAGAUAGUUGGAACAGUUGACCGUUCAAUAAAAUUGAAAGGUUUAGAAUCUGAAUUUAUUAGGGAGUUAUUCCAUGCAUUUGUCUUUGGUGAUGACCAAUGUAGAAAGGAUCACAAUUUUUUGCUUGAGACCGGAGAUAAAAUAAUGAUAAAACUAAAGGGAUCCCCACUUGCAGCAAAAACAGUUGGUAGAUUACUGAGAAAGAAUCUUAAUUUGCGUCAUUGGACAAGGGUCCUAGAAAGUAAAGAAUGGGAGAGCCAGACCAGUGUUAAUGACAUUAUGCCUGCCUUGAAGCUUAGCUAUGACUAUCUCCCUUUUCAUCUUCAGCGAUGCUUUUCCUAUUCUGCAUUGUUUCCUGAAGAUUACCAUUUCAAUGGCGCCCAACUAGUCAACUUGUGGAUAGGACUGGAUAUCUUACAACCUGGUGAUCGAACCCAAACAUUUGAAGAUAUAGGUUUCAGCAACUUAAAUGAUUUGGUCACGUAUGGCUUUUUCAGAGAAGAUAAAACUAAUGGUCGUCUAUGUUAUGUCAUGCAUGACCUCCUACACGAUUUAGCAUUGCAAGUUAUAUCUCAUGAAUGUAUUAGUUUACAUCGGUCCAAUGUGGGAUUGGUAAAAAUUCAGCCGUUCAUCCGUCACUUGUCUAUAAUCAUAGAUGGUGGGGAUGAUUCAGUGUCUCGUGAAAAUUUCAAGAGUCAACUGAGAAAGCUAAAGACAAGUUUGAAGAUUAAACAAUUGCAUACCUUGAUGUUAUUUGGAGAAAUGGAUGAAAGUUUUGUCAACACUCUGGGUGAUUUGUUUAGGGAAGCAAAUGCUCUUCGUGUUCUCCGUUUGGAUGAAACGCCGUAUUAUGUGGAGUCCAUAUUACCUAACUUUUCAGCACUUGUUCAUCUACGGUACCUAUAUCUGGGGACAAAGUGUGAGAGUGAGAUGCAUGUACUACUUAUCAUUUCUAGAUUUUAUCAUUUAAGGAUUUUGGGUCUAGGGUCAUGGUACCACAAUUGUCAUUUGCCCAAAGAGUUGAGCAACCUUGUAAACAUGCGUCGGUUUUAUACGCCAGCUGAUGAGUUGCAUUCUGAUAUUGUCAAUGUGGGAAAACUCAAACACUUAGAGGAGUUGAUGGUAUUUAGAGUCAAUAAAAAAUUUGAAGGGUUUGAACCAUGUCAACUAGAGCAUUUGACGGAACUAAGGGAGCUUGGCAUCUAUAACCUUGAGAAUAUACACACUAAAGAAGAAGCAGCCAAAACAAAUCUGGGAGAGAAAAUCCACUUGGAGAAGUUAACAUUAGAUUGGGAUAAUGAGCGGUCUAAUACCGAGCCAGGUGCAGAAGCAGUUGUCCUUGAGAGCCUUCAACCACAUAGAUAUCUUCAGGAGUUGUGCAUUAGAGGGCACAAAGGCUCUUCUUUUCCAACAUGGCUGGGUGAUAAGGUCACUGUUGAAUCUCUUCAUCUCUCUGGUGUUUCUUGGCAAUGUCUCCCUCCUUUGGGGAAGAUGUGGGGCCUUGGUAAAGUAGUAUUGGAACAUAUUCCCGCAAUGGAGGAGUUUGUUAUAGAGCAAAGCCUUUGCAAGCUAAUAAGGGUUGAGCUUGUUGGCUUGGGAAGUUUUGGAAAAUGGGUAGCAUCACAGGAUGCGGAUCAUAUGUUUCCUCUUUUGCAAGUAUUGAUUAUAAAAGACUGCCCUAAACUGUUGGAGCUGCCAUUUGCAAGCCAUAUUAUUUACCCAUCAGAUCAAGACCGGAAUAGUGAUUGGUUUCCCAAACUGCAAGAGCUUUGUAUAGAGAAGUGUCCAGAACUGUUGUUAGUGGCUCAUAUCCCAUGGACGGACACUCUGCAUAGUGUGAACAUAAGUGAUGUAAAGCUACUAGACAGGCUUGUGUACUCAACAAAUUCCUUCUUUGGGGGACGCUGUUUGGAUAUUGCAGGAAAGGAUGAUUUGCAGAGCUUAGAUGAGGUGGUAGCAUUCAGCAAGCUGGCAUGUCUUGAGCGUUUGUUACUCCACAAGUGCCCAGCUCUGAAGUCAAAGCACCUUCUGCUGUUGACCUCACUGAAGAAGUUGAUGGUAGAGGGUUCAGAUGGUGUGGUUGUAGAGGGUGAUGUGGAAUGGCAGCACCCCCUUGAGCAUCUUGUGGUGCAGGGCGAGGAAUCAUGUGGGAAGGAAUUGACAGAGCUCCUCACCCACCUCCCAAGCAUCUCCAAAUUGGAAAUCGAAAAAUGUGAAAAGAUAACACAACUGUCAGUGGGGUUGGAUGUGCAACAAACAACAUCAUCAGCUACGGAGGUGGAGGAGAAAGAAGAAGAUGAUUCAGGGCUGCUGCUCUUGCCUGCCCAACUCUCUGGCACACUGCAGCUGUUGAGCAUCCGGAGUUGUCCAGAGCUGGUCCUGGUGGACCCCCCUUUUCUUCUUGCCAGGGGAGGGCUCCAGGCCCUGCGGUCCCUCAAGACUCUACAAAUUUCGUUGUGCCCAAAGAUACUAUCCGCAAAGAGUUCUCCAUUCUGCUGCCCUUUUCCAUCCUCUCUGCAACAGCUCCAUGUUGAGGGUGUGGAAGGCAUGGGGAACCUGGGGCAUCUCCUUACCGCUGGGGGACAGCUCAUACUGUUAAGCAUUGGUGGCUGCCCUGGAUUCUUUGCUGGAUGGGAUCAGGAGUUAAAGCAGCAGCUUCUGAAUGGAGGAAAAGAGCAGGAACUGCAACAGCUUGUUUCGCCCCAGAAUGGAUGCAAACUGCAGGAGCUCUAUACGGAUGAUGCCAUGGGAAUCCUAUCUGUGCCCAUCUGCAACCUCCUGUCUUCCUCCCUCAGCAUCCUGGGCUUCUUUGGCAACCAAGAGAUGGAGUGCUUUACUAAGGACCAAGAGGACGCCCUUCACCUGCUGGUCUCCCUCCAGAAACUGAUGUUUAUCAACUUGAGCAAGCUUCAGAGCCUCCCUGCAGGGCUGCAAAAGCUCACCAACCUCAAGGAAUUAUCGGUCUGGUCAUGUCCGCUUGUCCGGUCACUGCCAGAGGAUGGCCUCCCCAAAUCACUUCAAGAAUUAGAUGUCUGGCGCUGCGGCAGCGCGGAGCUAACACAGCAGUGCCAGGGGUUAGUGGGAACCAUCCCAAAAAUCUUCCUGUAA